rnacentral:rRNA from 1 species
GUGGGGAAUAUUGGACAAUGGGGGCAACCCUGAUCCAGCAAUGCCGCGUGUGUGAAGAAGGCCUUCGGGUUGUAAAGCACUUUCGGUGGGGACAAACGUGGCGAGGCUAACAUCCUCGUCCUUGAUGGUACCCAAAGAAGAAGCACCGGCUAACUCUGUGCCAGCAGCCGCGGUAAUACAGAGGGUGCAAGCGUUAAUCGGAAUUACUGGGCGUAAAGGGUGCGUAGGUGGUUGGAUAAGUCAGAUGUGAAAUCCCCGGGCUUAACCUGGGAACUGCGUUUGAUACUGUUCGACUAGAGUCUGGUAGAGGGUAGUGGAAUUCCGCAUGUAGCGGUGAAAUGCGUAGAGAUGCGGAGGAACACCAGUGGCGAAGGCGGCUACCUGGACCAAGACUGACACUGAGGCACGAAAGCGUGGGUAGCAAACAGGAUUAGAUACCCGAGUAGUCC